GUACUCACUUUGGUAGCCCAUAUACUGAAAUUAGAAUGAUACAGAGAAUAUUAGCAUGGCCCGUGCACAAGGGUGACACACAAAUUCGUGAAGCAUUCUGUAUUAUU
rnacentral:snRNA from 1 species